CUUAGUGGCGGACGGGUGAGUAACGCGUGAGUAACCUGCCUUUCAGAGGGGGAUAACGACUGGAAACGGUCGGUAAUACCGCAUAACAUAUCGAGAUCGCAUGGUUUUGAUAUCAAAGGAGCAAUCCGCUGAAAGAUGGACUCGCGUCCAAUUAGCUAGUUGGUGAGGUAAUGGCUCACCAAGGCGACGAUUGGUAGCCGGACUGAGAGGUUGAACGGCCACAUUGGGACUGAGACACGGCCCAGACUCCUACGGGAGGCAGCAGUGGGGAAUAUUGCACAAUGGGCGAAAGCCUGAUGCAGCGACGCCGCGUGAGGGAAGAAGGUUUUCGGAUUGUAAACCUCUGUCCUCGGUGAAGAUAAUGACGGUAACCGAGGAGGAAGCCACGGCUAACUACGUGCCAGCAGCCGCGGUAAUACGUAGGUGGCAAGCGUUGUCCGGAAUUACUGGGUGUAAAGGGAGCGUAGGCGGGAAUGCAAGUUAAAUGUUAAAUCUAUGGGCUCAACCCAUAUCCGCGUUUAAAACUGCAUUUCUUGAGUGAAGUAGAGGUAGGCGGAAUUCCUAGUGUAGCGGUGAAAUGCGUAAAUAUUAGGAGGAACACCAGUGGCGAAGGCGGCCUACUGGGCUUUAACUGACGCUGAGGCUCGAAAGCGUGGGUAGCAAACAGGAUUAGAUACCCUGGUAGUCCACGCUGUAAACGAUGAUUACUAGGUGUGGGGGGGACUGACCCCUUCCGUGCCGCAGUUAACACAAUAAGUAAUCCACCUGGGGAGUACGACCGCAAGGUUGAA
rnacentral:rRNA from 1 species